CCAAACAUCUAGCUUACUCUCUAUUAUUACAUUUAACUUUAAAUAAAACAUUUUCGCUAUUUAGUAAGGGAGACUAAAAAAUUUAUAAACGCUUCAGAAUAAGUACCGUAAGGGAAUGAUGAAAUAAUAAUGAAAUACCUCCCCCGCCCAAUGUAGCAAAGUUUUCAACUUGUACCUUUUGCAUCAUGGUCAAGCCAGUUCAACUAAGCAAACUGCAACUUAAGCUUAACAUCCCGAAACUGGGUGAGCUAUUUAAAAAUAGUCGCCAGGACAAACCCAUCUCUGUUGCAAAAGAGUGAGAUAAUUUUUUAAUAGUAGCGAAAAGCUUACCGAACCCAGAGAUAGCUGGUUAUCCAAGAAAAGAAUUUAAGUUCAACCUUAAGCUUAUUAAUUCUUCAAAACAAAAUAUAAAACUUAAGAGCUAUUCAAAUAAGGUACAGCUUAUUUGAUACAGGUCACAACCUCACACAUAGGGUAAUAUAUUACGACCAAAAGUAGGCCUAAAAGCAGCCAAAAAUGCGUUAAAGCUUACCGACACCCAAUACCAAACAACUACACAAACCCUUAUUAACUAUUGGAUGACUCCAUAAUUUAUGGAAGCCACUAUGCUUGAACUAGUAACAAGAAUUUGACUUUCUCCUAAAUAUCUCUGUAAGCCGCAACAGACAAACUAACGGCAAUCAACGCCAAUAAAUCAACUACAACAACCCACUAGAGAAACUUAUAAAAUAUAGCGUUACCCUUACACAAGUAUAUUCCAGGAAAGAUUAAAAGAAAGAGAAGGAACUCGGCAAACUUCAGCCCCGCCUGUUUACCAAAAACAUCGCCUCUUGCUUAAAUAUAAGAGGUCCAGCCUGCCCAGUGAAUAUUAAACGGCCGCGGUACCCUAACCGUGCUAAGGUAGCACAAUCACUUGUCCUUUAAAUGGGGACUAGAAUGAAAGGCAUCACGAGGGCUGUACUGUCUCCUCUUUUUAAUCAGUGAAACUGACCUCCCCGUGAAAAGGCGGGAAUUAAAAUAUUAGACGAGAAGACCCCAUGGAGCUUUAGACACAAGUAAAUCUUAACCCCCCCCUCCCCCAAGUUUAUGAUUAUUACCUUAAGUCUUCGGUUGGGGCAACCAUGGAGUAAAAAUUAACCUCCACACGAACGGAUUAUUCCUCAUUCAAGAACUACUAAUCUAGAAAACAGAAUACUGACGCCAACUGAUCCGGAACCCGAUCAAUGAACCAAGUUACCCUGGGGAUAACAGCGCUAUCUACCUUUAGAGCCCCUAUCGACAGGUAGGUUUACGACCUCGAUGUUGGAUCAGGGUAUCCUAGUGGUGCAGCCGCUACAUAAGGUUCGUUUGUUCA
rnacentral:rRNA from 1 species